rnacentral:rRNA from 1 species
GACGAACGCUGGCGGCGUGCCUAAUACAUGCAAGUCGAACGCUGAAGGAGGAGCUUGCUUCUCUGGACGAGUUGCGAACGGGUGAGUAACGCGUAGGUAACCUGCCUGUUAGCGGGGGAUAACUAUUGGAAACGAUAGCUAAUACCGCAUAUUAGUAGAUGUUGCAUGACAUUUGCUUAAAAGGUGCAAUUGUAUCACUACCAGAUGGACCUGCGUUGUAUUAGUUAGUUGGUGGGGUUACGGCUCACCAAGGCGACGAUACAUAGGAGACCUGAGAGGGUGAUCUGCCAAACUGGGAAGGGAGCACGGCCCAAAAUCCUGAGGGAGGCAGCCGGAGGGAAUCUUCGGGAAAAGACGGAAGGCUGGACGAGGAACGACGGGGGGGUGAAGGAGGUUGUCGGGUCGUAAAACUCUGUUGUAAGAGAAGUAAGAAAGGGAGAAUGAAAAGUUCACACUGUGACGGUAUCUAACCAGAAAGGCACGGCUAACUACGUG